GAAACGCUGUUACGCGUGACGCUUUCAACGUCAACUUUAAUGAAUAAAUCUGUGUGUCAUGGUACUGGAACUUUGUGAUCUUUUUUAAAACAGAUUAUACCUAUGGAAAAAGUGCCUUUAAUUCAAAUUUGAAGGGGUUGGGUUCCCUUAUAGGUUACAUUAUCCUAAACGGAAGUGGAAUUUGGGGGGUUACAUGCAGUCGGUUUGCUACUUAGUACAUAUGAUGCAGGUCCUGGUGCAUAAGAUUUUAAAAAUGUAUCUGAAAUGAAGAGUUUAGGUGUCAGUUUAAAGGUACAUGUGUAAGUCACAGGGCAAAAGGCCUGAUUUGUGCAUUUCUUUGUAUGUUAGUGGUUGCCAGCCUCAAUAGUAGGGCAUGGUUUUUGCCUUCAAAUGGCAGUGCCGGUAGCUGUCAAAACCGGUUCAUAUGCUCUAAGGUAAUUAUUUUGAGUUACACCGUAUAGAAUUUUUUCAAAUGCAGUUUUUUUGUAAGUUUAUGAAACCACCUUUCCAGUCAUGUAUAGUUAUAUAUUGGCUUAUCGCUCGGUCAUGGUGAAAUUUGAGAUCAAAGAUUGCGAAUUCUAUAUAUAACAAAGAAGGAAAUUAAUUGGGCAUGUGUAACCUUUAAGAACUUCCGACCAAGUUAGUCGUCUUCCAGAAUGUUGACAAUUUACCAUCAAAAACUCUCUGUAUUGCAAAACAUAACUACCAGAUGUCAUUUUGACCCAAUUAAGGGCUGUUUGCAAUUGGGCUGUUGCACUUGGGGUCCUAAGGGGGGUAAAUGCUUGAAAAUCACUCCGAAACCUGUUCCGAAGACACAUUCUAAGACUACGUAAACACUCGGUAUUGUUUUUCAGUGACAUUUUGACAUUAAUUUGCAUCAAUCUCAAUAAUGAACCUAAUUCCUGUCUUUAUUUCAUCUGUAUUUAUUGCUAUUGUUUACUUUUAGCCUUUUACUAUUUAAAAUGUAAUGUGUGUUGUUUUUCCAUGCAAGCAAUUUUGGACCGACACUGCUAUCUGCCUUCGCUUUCAAUCCCGCCAGGCAGAUCUACUCAGAAUAACACUACUUUGCCUUAUUUUUCCUGUUUGGAUAUCUUGCUGAGUUCAAGUUAAAUCAAGUAUUCAGCUGAAAACACAAAAAGGAUAAUAAUAUUAUGCUUUCUUUCUUGGAACGAUGUUGUUGUGAUAGACCGUGCGUGAAAAACAGCAGGGAAUCUGUAUUUAAGUGACCUCAAUAUUAUACGUAAACCUAAAUGUACAUUUUUAGGUGGUGUCGGAAUUAGUCUAUAGCUCUGCCUGAACUGCUGUCCAAUUGGUUUACAAGUCCGGCUGAAGUGACAGGCCAUCAAAAACUGCACAGUAUGACUGAUUCGGAGACGGCCCUCAACACUCGCCCAGUCGUGUCGAGAGGAUCGGUGUCUUUGCAGAUUACACGGAAUUGAGCACCCGGGCCAGACUGACACUUUCCGGAGCCUGUCCGAGACGGAACUCGAGCCGAGGAAUCAUAGGUCCAGGUGUGACAGAAAACUUAAAGCUCAUGUCUGACGAUGACUUUUUUUGCGUCAGGAAGUAAAGUGUGUUGUUUUCCCAUGCAAGCAAGCCCUUUUGUUGGGUCAAAUGACAUCAGAAAUGCUGCUUCUACAUGGAUUUUACCUAAAAUGUGCCAAAAAAUAUAUAAAAAGUUUGUUCGGAUCUUGUUCAAAACCUGCUAUGAUGCACAUAUAAUGCCAUUGAUGAUUUGUUUUCACUUAUUAAGUCAUAUGUUACAUCUGCUAUGCUAUUAGAAUCGAAAGUGAUGCCUUGUAUGGAGUCUAAGUGCUGUCUGUAUGAUGUAACCAAGGUCGGCUUUUCUACCUUAAUUCUUGACGCGAAACGCUGUUACGCGUGACGCUUUCAACGUCAACUUUAAUGAAUAAAUCUGUGUGUCAUGGUA